GGACCCAGGGCCCCCAGGCGCCCGCCUCCGCUGCGGAUAGCCGCUUACGUCAGAGAGGCAAAACCCAGAGGAAGAAGGGGGAAAAAGAAAACGACACGAGGGCGGAAGGGGAAAAACUUUAUUUUUUCUCCUAUUCUUUUCUGGGGCUGAAGUGAAGAGCAGACGACUGCGCCAGUGCGGGCUUCCCGGAGAGACCCAGGCGCGACCCCAGCCCGCCGCGAGCGGAGGAGCUGGGCCCCGGAGGCCCGAAGGGGUACCCGGCAUGUGGGACCCUCAGGACUUUGAGCGCCACUGGCAGGCCGAGUUCCCUGGAGAGGAGGCGCCGGUCCUGCAGCUGGACUCGGUACUGGACAUAGAGCGGGAGCUGGAGCGCUGCAAACUCAACCUGAAGCGGCUGCAACAGGUGUUGGCAGAGGAGAAGUUUAAAGUCUUCUACCUGCAGGCAGCCCUGGCCGGGGAGAAGCCGGAGGUCGGCGGCGGGCCCCUUGAGGGGGAAGACGGGGGCAGCGAGGGAGCUUCGGCAGCGGAGCCGGCGCCAGCCGGGCCCGAGCGGGCACAGCCACCACGCGAAGAGGCGGGCGCAGGGGGGGGCUGCGGAGACACCCGGGAUCUUGCGUGCCGGGACCCGGAGGUGGCCGUCAGGGCAGAGACUCCUCCAUACGUUUGCAUGGAUCUUCCCACCUGUCCCGGGGCAGCAGGGGCCGGGGGAGCGGUGCGCAGCUUGACUGCCGCCAUCCACCAACAGCUGCUGCAGCCUCGUCUCCUCUUCAGGCCCCGAGAAGACUGUGCGCUUCCCGGUCACGAUGGCAUAGUUCCCAGCGCCCCAGAGCGGUCCUCUGGGACUCGCGCAGGGCGGGGAUCGGAGGAGGGCGAGCUGGCCGCCUCGGGCGCGGACGAUGGGGGCGACAGCAGUGACCACGACUUCGAGAUGGUGGAUUGGAACGAGAAAUUCGUCCUAGGCCACUUGUUCGUGGCCCCCUGCCGGCUUGGGACCCGUGAUGAGGCCGAAAAGCCGGUGCGGGCGUGCAGCCCCCAUCGCUGGAUGCACCUGAUCCCCGGGGGUCGGCGGCAGCAGCGGAAGAGCCGCGACCUAGAGCAGCUAGAAUCAGAGGCCAAGGACGGGCUGGGCUCGCCCCUAGCAGUGGACGAGCACCCCCGGCGCGGGGCCCGUGAGCACCUCCCCCCAUGGCGGCGCAAGAGAUUCCUGCGGAUUCCCGAGUGGGACUCGCCCAGCCAUAGUUCGCCAGAGAGGGGCAGUGACUGCAGCCACAACAGCUCGGACCACGAAGACGGCUCCUCUGCAGGUUGGCCAAUCAUUCCUUUGCACAGGUAAUGAUAGUAUCCUUCUCUGCAUAAACUCCAGUCGCUCCCAUUUCUCCUGGAUUCCUCGAUGUAGAAGUCUAGGUCUUCCACUUAAUUUUCUGAACAUCUCUCUCAUUUUCUCCAGCCUAUAUUUAUGUUUGGGCCAAAUUGAAACAGACUCUGGGUGGGGGUUGGUGUACAUAAUCCUCACUGCCUGCCUACCUUUGCUGACUAGCCCCCUUCCUUGCACUUGAUCUGUAGCUUCCUAGAAGACUAGGAGUCCUGAGUGGGAAGGGAAGGGCUUAGAAUCAUAGAGUCUUCAUGCUGGCCUAGUGCCCAGAGAUCAUGUCUCGUGCUCUGCCCUCUCUUCUGAGAACAGGACAUGGUCUUAGCCAUCUUUGAAUCUCCUUGUGAUGGUCAGUAUGGUGCCUUGCACAUAGUAAGUGUUCAAUAAAAUAUUUCUUGAAUAAAUGGAUGAUUGCAUUAAACUGUCUCCCACCCAGCCCCUCAUAGGUUAAGGAGUGGGAAUGGGGCUAAAGAGGAAAGGACAGGGAUGUGGGGUGGCCUGUGAAUGUCCCUUUGGUGCCCUAGGGACCGUCAGGGUCUCCUCAGCCACAGUGAAAGCAUAAAUUGGUGUCUGGUUAGUUCAAGCUGUGAUCAGAAACUUCAGAUUCUUUCCUGCUAUGUGAAGGAAGGAAAAAGAAAAAAGAAAAAAAGAAAUCACUGAUGCUGGGAUUGUUCCAAAAUCUCCAUUAUUAGAUCUUAUCGGGUAGGACAAAAAGCUUCGAAAAUGCUGAUGAAGACCAUGGGCUCUGAAGCUAGACUGCUUGUGUGACCUUGGGAGAAGUUAUUUGAAUUUUCUAUGUCUCAGCUUUCUCAUCUAUAAAAUGAAGCUAAUAAACGCUGCUUAUCUUUUACUA